rnacentral:piRNA from 1 species
UCCUAGUGAUACCAGCGUGGAUAUGAAAGU